GAUAGCGAGGGAGCCUCGGAGGGUAUAUAAGGGCUGCGACUCUAUCUCCCGUCACCAGUGUGUCUCAAGCCUCAGACAUGACCAGAGUCCUCGUCCAGGUCCUCCUGCUGGGGCUCGUCAGCCUCGCCCUCCUGCACCCAGGAGCGGCCGAGCAGUGUGCGACCGUCGUCGAGGACCACGAGUGGCAGGGGAACUACAUCGCCAACUUCUCCUCCCAGACCGCUGUGCCCUUCAAGGGCCUCGACAUCGUCUUCACCUUCGACGGCCCUGUCACCGGCAUGUCUUACUUCGAAGGGUCGACGGAGCUCAUCGACGACACGCACGUCAGACUCAUCAACAACGACAAGUUCUACGAGACUGGAGCGUUCGUCCACUUCGGGUUCUCGGUGUCGUUCAACGGUGACACGAAGCCUUUGGUUGUGGCUAUUGAGAUGAGCGGCCAGGACGCCUGCGACGGGACGCUGGCCUGGACCACUGAGUCUCCCUAUGUACAGCCCUGCGAGCCCACUGGCAUGGGCCGAUACGACUAUGCUCAGGCCCUGUGCAUGUCCAUCCUGUUCUACGAGGCUCAGCGCUCAGGUCACCUGCCCGAGGACCAGCGCGUCACCCCCUGGAGGUGGGACUCCGCCCUGGACGAUGGUUCUGAUGUUGGCCACGACCUUACUGGAGGCUACUACGACGCUGGAGAUCACGUCAAGUUCGGCUUCCCGAUGGCCUACACCGCCACAGUGCUGGCCUGGGGCCUCCUCGACUUCCCUCAAGGAUACGCCGCCGCUGGUCAGACGGAGUACGGGCGUGCAGCUGUCAAGUGGGCCACCGACUACUUCCUCAAGGCCCACACUGCUGAGUACGAACUGUACGGCCAGGUUGGUAAGGGAAGUCUGGACCACGGGUUCUGGGGUCGACCUGAGGACAUGUACAUGGAUCGACCCUCUAUGAAGAUCGACAAGGAUGCUCCAGGUAGUGACCUGGCUGGGGAGACAGCAGCCGCCCUCGCUGCCGCCUCCAUCGUCUUCAAGGAUGUUGACUCGGCCUACUCGGCCGAGCUCCUGGGCGUGGCCGAGGAGCUCUAUGCCUUCGCCGACGAGUACCGUCUUGAGUACCACAAUUCCAUCACCGACGCUGCAGAUUUUUACAGGUCGUGGAGUGGGUACGGGGACGAGUUGCUGUGGGGGGCGCUGUGGCUGUACCGCGCCACAGGAGACGACACCUACCUCACCAAGGCUCAGGCGGCCUGGGACGACUUCUCGCUGGGGGAAGGCGCCCUCCAGUUCUCCUGGGACGACAAGAAGGCCGGCGCUUACGCGCUGGGGUCACUGGUCGACCCCAGCAACACCAAGUACGCGGACGCCCUCAAGGCGUUCCUGACUUACCUGAAGAACGACGCCCAGUACACACCUGGAGGCCUGGUCUUCCUGGACCCUUGGGGCUCGAACCGUCACGCUGCCAACGUCGCCUUCAUCUCCCUCUGGGCGGCCAAGUACGGAGACCCAGCUGACGCUGCGGCCAACAGGGAGUGGGCUGACGGUCAACUUGGCUACAUCCUGGGUGACUUCGGUCACUCCUUCGUCGUGGGCUUCGGUGUAAACCCGCCGUCGCAUCCCCAUCACCGCUCCAGCUCCUGUCCAAUUCCACCUCAGUCUUGCUUUGAGAACAGCUGGGGCCAGAACCAGCCAGGACCCAACCCGCACACCCUCUACGGCGCCCUCGUCGGCGGCCCCGACGCGUCUGACGGCUACACUGACGUUCGUACGGACUACCAGCACAACGAAGUCGCCUGCGACUACAACGCCGCCUUCAGUGGAGCUCUCGCCGCUAUGGUCGAGCUUAACUAGACGUCGACCUCCUGAGCCAUGAGUCUGGUUGAGUUCAACUAGACGUCGACCUCCUGAGCCAUGAGUCUGGUUGAGUUCAACUAGACGUCGACCUCCUGUGCCAUGAGUCUGGUCGAGCUUAACUAGACGUCGACCUCCUGAGCCAUGAGUCUGGUUGAGUUCAACUAGACGUCGACCUGAGCCAUGAGUCUGGUUGAGUUCAACUAGGCGUCGACCUGAGCCAUGAGUCUGGUUGAGUUCAACUAGACGUCGACCUCCUGAGCCAUGAGUCUGGUUGAGUUCAACUAGACGUCGACCUCCUGAGCCAUGAAUCUGGUUGAGUUCAACUAGACGUCGAUCGACCUCCUGUGCCAUGAGUCUGGUCGAGUUCAACUAGUCGUCGACCUCCUGUGUCAUGAGUUUGGUUGAGCUCAACUAGACGUCAACUUCCUUUGCCAUGAGACUAGUUGAGCUCAACCAGAUAACAACAGAUUGUCACAUGAAAUUCGUCGAAAUCCACCUAAUUAAACGUUCAUGGAAUCAGUCGAUCAGGGCUAAUGACCUCAGUAAUAAUCAUACAAAAUUAUGUCUAUUGAAUUCGUUUCUCAAAUAUAUAUUGAAAAAAAUG